CUCGAGUGGCGAACGGGUGAGUAACACGUGAGUAACCUGCCCUUGACUUUGGGAUAACUUCAGGAAACUGGGGCUAAUACCGGAUAGGAGCUCCUGCUGCAUGGUGGGGGUUGGAAAGUUUCGGCGGUUGGGGAUGGACUCGCGGCUUAUCAGCUUGUUGGUGGGGUAGUGGCCUACCAAGGCGGCGACGGGUAGCCGGCCUGAGAGGGUGGACGGCCACAUUGGGACUGAGAUACGGCCCAG
rnacentral:rRNA from 1 species